rnacentral:rRNA from 1 species
UCCUACGGGAGGCAGCAGUGGGGAAUUUUCCGCAAUGGGCGAAAGCCUGACGGAGCAAUACCGCGUGAGGGAAGACUGCCUAUGGGUUGUAAACCUCUUUUUUCAGGGAGGAAUCAAUGACGUGUACCUGAAGAAUAAGCAUCGGCUAACUCCGUGCCAGCAGCCGCGGUAAGACGGAGGAUGCAAGUGUUAUCCGGAAUCACUGGGCGUAAAGCGUCUGUAGGUGGUUUAAUAAGUCAACUGUUAAAUCUUGAGGCUCAACUUCAAAAUCGCAGUCGAAACUAUUAGACUAGAGUAUAGUAGAGGUAAAGGGAAUUUCCAGUGGAGCGGUGAAAUGCGUAGAUAUUGGAAAGAACACCGAUGGCGAAGGCACUUUACUGGGCUAUUACUGACACUCAGAGACGAAAGCUAGGGUAGCAAAUGGGAUUAGAUACCCCAGUAGUCCUAGCCGUAAACAAUGGAUACUAGAUGUUGAACAGAUCGACCUGUGCAGUAUCAAAGCUAACGCGUUAAGUAUCCCGCCUGGGAAGUAUGCUCGCAAGAGUGAAACUCA